AGCAGCCGCGGUAAUUCCAGCUCCAAUAGCGUAUAUUAAAGUUGUUGCAGUUAAAAAGCUCGUAGUUGAAUUUCGGAAUCAGUACGAUGGUCGUGCCUCUGGUAUGUACUAUUGUUACUGGUUUCUCCCUUCUGAAGAACUGUCAUGUCAUUAAUUUGGUGUGGCGGGGAAUCAGGACUGUUACUUUGAAAAAAUUAGAGUGUUUAAAGCAGGCUCGCGCUUGAAUACAUUAGCAUGGAAUAAUGAAAUAGGACGUUUGAUCCUAUUUUGUUGGUUUCUAGGAUUGACGUAAUGAUUAAUAGUGAUAGUUGGGGGCAUUAGCAUUCAAUUGUCAGAGGUGAAAUUCUUGGAUUUAUUGAAGACUAACUACUGCGAAAGCAUUUGCCAAGGAUGUUUUCAUUAAUCAAAGAACGAAAGUUAGGGGAUCGAAGACGAUCAGAUACCGUCGUAGUCUUAACCAUAAACUAUGCCG
rnacentral:rRNA from 1 species